rnacentral:rRNA from 1 species
UACAGAGGUGGCAAGCGUUGUUCGGAAUUACUGGGCGUAAAGGGCGAGUAGGUGGCCAUCUAAGUCAGACGUGAAAUCCCCCGGCUUAACCCGGGAACUGCGUCCGAUACUGGCAGGCUUGAAUCCGGGAGAGGGAUGCGGAAUUCCAGGUGUAGCGGUGAAAUGCGUAGAUAUCUGGAGGAACACCGGUGGCGAAGGCGGCAUCCUGGACCGGCAUUGACGCUGAGGCGCGAAAGCCAGGGGAGCAAACGGG